UUUAUGUGUACAAUAAGUAUGGUGUCCACUAUAUCAGUUUUCAACUUAUUCUAACCUCUUUCCCAUCAUGCUUCCACAGUUAACCUUUUAACUAAAAUUUGGAUUGAAGAAUAACGGUACUCUCUAUGUCCUACAAAAUACAAAAUUGUAAGGUUUUCUGUCUUUGAAUAAAGCUAAUGAUAUAAUAUUAAUGAAGUGUGAUAUUUAACAUCCCUAAGUAAUUAUAACUGAUUAUUGCAGUUUAGUGAAAUUUGUUAUUAUGACUGAUCAUAGUAUUACUGAACUUUGAUAAAAUUACUGUAAUAAUUGUCACAAUGUAACAAUAAAAUAAAUAAUUUCAAUUUUU